ACGAACGCUGGCGGCAGGCCUAACACAUGCAAGUCGAACGCGUGUAGCAAUACACGAGUGGCGCACGGGUGCGUAACGCGUGGGAAUAUACCCUUGAGUGCGGAAUAACGUCUGGAAACGGACGCUAAUACCGCAUAAUGACUUCGGUCCAAAGAUUUAUCGCUCAAGGAUUAGCCCGCGUUAGAUUAGCUAGUUGGUGAGGUAAGAGCUCACCAAGGCGACGAUCUAUAGCUGGUCUGAGAGGAUGAUCAGCCACACUGGGACUGAGACACGGCCCAGACUCCUACGGGAGGCAGCAGUGAGGAAUAUUGGACAAUGGGGGCAACCCUGAUCCAGCCAUGCCGCGUGAGUGAAGAAGGCCUCGGUUGUAACG
rnacentral:rRNA from 1 species